rnacentral:rRNA from 1 species
UUUAAUUAUCAUAUAUAAAAGUGAAAAUAUAAAAUAUAAAUUAAUUUUAGUUGGGGCAACUGGGAGGGAUAAAAAUCUUUUAUUAAAUCAUUUAUAGUAAUAUUUAUAUUUAUGAUCCAAAUUAGUUAAUUUUGAACUUAGAAG